CAGUAGCCGCGGGAAUACGAAGGGGGCUAGCGUUGCUCGGAAUUACUGGGCGUAAAGGGAGCGUAGGCGGACAUUUAAGUCAGGGGUGAAAUCCCAGAGCUCAACUCUGGAACUGCCUUUGAUACUGGGUGUCUUGAGUGUGAUAGAGGUAUGUGGAACUCCGAGUGUAGAGGUGAAAUUCGUAGAUAUUCGGAAGAACACCAGUGGCGAAGGCGACAUACUGGAUCAUUACUGACGCUGAGGCUCGAAAGCGUGGGGAGCAAACAGGAUUAGAGACCCCCGUAGUCCCUGUCUCUUAUAC
rnacentral:rRNA from 1 species